GACGAACGCUGGCGGCGUGCCUAAUACAUGCAAGUUGAGCGAUGAAGAUUGGUGCUUGCACCAAUUUGAAGAGCAGCGAACGGGUGAGUAACGCGUGGGGAAUCUGCCUUUGAGCGGGGGACAACAUUUGGAAACGAAUGCUAAUACCGCAUAACAACUUUAAACAUAAGUUUUAAGUUUGAAAGAUGCAAUUGCGUCACUCAAAGAUGAUCCCGCGUUGUAUUAGCUAGUUGGUGAGGUAAAGGCUCACCAAGGCGAUGAUACAUAGCCGACCUGAGAGGGUGAUCGGCCACAUUGGGAAUGAGACAAGGCCCAAACUCCUAAGGGAGGCAGCAGUAGGGAAUCUUCGGCAAUAGACGAAAGUCUGACCGAGCAACGCCGCGUGAGUGAAGAAGGUUUUCGGAUCGUAAAACUCUGUUGGUAGAGAAGAACGUUGGUGAGAGUGGAAAGCUCAUCAAGUGACGGUAACUACCCAGAAAGGGACGGCUAACUACGUG
rnacentral:rRNA from 1 species